AGUCUCUCCUCUGUGUCUUAACAUUUAAAAGUACACCUAUUUAUACCUUAUGUGUCUCCAUUUUAGGUUACUGUAGUUCAAAUAUGAAAAAGUAACACUUCUUUUACUUUAUUCAAUUUAGGACCUCCCUUAAUUUGGCAAACAUACAAGGCCAUAACUAAAGGGUGUAUACGUCAUGGAAAUUUUCCUGACUUAGUUCAAGAUGGCAUCUUAAAGUCU